rnacentral:rRNA from 1 species
GAUGAACGCUGGCGGCGUGCCUAAUACAUGCAAGUCGAGCGAACAGACGAGGAGCUUGCUCCUCUGACGUUAGCGGUGGACGGGUGAGUAACACGUGGAUAACCUACCUAUAAGACUGGGAUAACUUCGGGAAACCGGAGCUAAUACCGGAUAAUAUAUUGAACCGCAUGGUUCAAUAGUGAAAGACGGUUUUGCUGUCACUUAUAGAUAGAUCCGCGCCGCAUUAGCUAGUUGGUAAGGUAACGGCUUACCAAGGCAACGAUGCGUAGCCGACCUGAGAGGGUGAUCGGCCACACUGGAACUGAGACACGGUCCAGACUCCUACGGGAGGCAGCAGUAGGGAAUCUUCCGCAAUGGGCGAAAGCCUGACGGAGCAACGCCGCGUGAGUGAUGAAGGUCUUCGGAUCGUAAAACUCUGUUAUUAGGGAAGAACAAAUGUGUAAGUAACUAUGCACGUCUUGACGGUACCUAAUCAGAAAGCCACGGCUAACUACGUG